rnacentral:rRNA from 1 species
CCUUAGUUACCAGCACGUUAAGGUGGGCACUCUAAGGAGACUGCCGGUGACAAACCGGAGGAAGUGGGAUGACGUCAAGUCAUCAUGGCCCUUAGGCCUGGGCUACACACGUGCUACAAUGGUCGGUACAAAGGGUUGCCAAGCCGCGAGGUGGAGGCUAAUCCCAUAAACCGAUCGUAGUCCGGAUCGCAGUCUGCAACUCGACUGCCGUGAAGUCGGAAUCGCUAGUAAUCGCAGAUCAGCAUGCUCGCGGUCGAAUACGUUCCCGGGCCUU